ACUCAAAGGAAUUGACGGGGCCCCGCACAAGCGGUGGAGCAUGUGGUUUAAUUCGAAGCAACGCGAAGAACCUUACCAAAUCUUGACAUCCUUUGACAACUCUAGAGAUAGAGCCUUCCCCUUCGGGGGACAAAGUGACAGGUGGUGCAUGGUUGUCGUCAGCUCGUGUCGUGAGAUGUUGGGUUAAGUCCCGCAACGAGCGCAACCCUUGAGCUUAGUUGCCAUCAUUAAGUUGGGCACUCUAAGUUGACUGCCGGUGACAAACCGGAGGAAGGUGGGGAUGACGUCAAAUCAUCAUGCCCCUUAUGAUUUGGGCUACACACGUGCUACAAUGGACAAUACAAAGGGCAGCGAAACCGCGAGGUCAAGCAAAUCCCAUAAAGUUGUUCUCAGUUCGGAUUGUAGUCUGCAACUCGACUACAUGAAGCUGGAAUCGCUAGUAAUCGUAGAUCAGCAUGCUACGGUGAAUACGUUCCCGGGUCUUGUACACACCGCCCGUCACACCACGAGAGUUUGUAACACCCGAAGCCGGUGGAGUAACCUUUUAGGAGCUAGCCGUCGAAGGUGGGACAAAUGAUUGGGGUGAAGUCGUAACAAGGUAGCCGUAUCGGAAGGUGCGGCUGGAUCACCUCCUUU
rnacentral:rRNA from 1 species